UGGUAAUGCCGGAUGCUCCAGUUGAUCGCAUGGUCUUCUGGGAAAGCUUUCGCGGUAUGGGAUGGGGUCGCGUCCUAUCAGCUUGACGGCGGGGUAACGGCCCACCGUGGCUUCGACGGGUAGCCGGCCUGAGAGGGCGACCGGCCACAUUGGGACUGAGAUACGGCCCAGACUCCUACGGGAGGCAGCAGUGGGGAAUAUUGCACAAUGGGCGCAAGCCUGAUGCAGCGACGCCGCGUGAGGGAUGGAGGCCUUCGGGUUGUAAACCUCUUUUAUCGGGGAGCAAGCGAGAGUGAGUUUACCCGUUGAAUAAGCACCGGCUAACUACGUGCCAGCAGCCGCGGUAAUACGUAGGGUGCAAGCGUUAUCCGGAAUUAUUGGGCGUAAAGGGCUCGUAGGCGGUUCGUCGCGUCCGGUGUGAAAGUCCAUCGCUUAACGGUGGAUYCGCGCCGGGUACGGGCGGGCUUGAGUGCGGUAGGGGAGACUGGAAUUCCCGGUGUAACGGUGGAAUGUGUAGAUAUCGGAA
rnacentral:rRNA from 1 species